rnacentral:lncRNA from 1 species
CUCGCCGCCCGGAGUCGCCAGCGCUGUCACCAAGGAAGCCCCAGUCCGCGCCCCGAGAGCGCCUCCCGGGGGCUGGCUGCGGAUGCGCGGAGCUCUUGGCGAGGGCGUCGCAAAGCCCCCGCCUCCCUGGUCUUGGCCACGGAUGACAUCAUCCCCCUGGAGCCCUCGCCCCCGCGCAUGGGCUCCACUGGUGCCGCUUCCCCUGCACACCUCCGCUGGGAACCAGCUCAUCGUUCCUACCCACCAGCUCAUCUCUUCCCGAGUCCAGCCCGCAAGACCCAGAGCCAGGCCACCCUUCUCUUCCCUAGUUUUCCAGUUUCUUCCCAGCUUCCACCUCCUCUCAGAUCCUCCAGCGCCCAAAUGGCACAGCCUCCCUCUCAGGGUGACUCAGCUCCUGGCUCCUUCCCUUCCUGCCACCCGCUGAGACGUGUGACCAGUUACCAUGGUGAUCGCACAGCGUUCGGUUCAUACCUGUCUUCCCAGAUGAGACCUGGAUGUCUAAAUUGCUCCUGAAAGGAAUGCCUGGGCACAGCUGCUCACCUGCAAAGGUGGGUGUCAGAUGGCAUCUCAGGGUUCUCCAUCCCUGUGUGGACUCGGGGUGGUGGCAGCAGUAGGGAUGGGGACAGGUGUCUCCACCAUGGGGACUCUAGGCUGGUAUUUCUCUCCUUAAGAUUCGGGUCUCCAGAGGGAGGGGCACAAAGCACCUGGAGGCAGCAGCUGAGAAUGGACAGACCAGGUCAUGGCAUACGUGUGUAUCCUUGGAGAAUACACUUGGGGGAGAUGCAAGCUUAUUUGUCAGACGGUAUCAUUUUCAUCAAAGGUUUCCCAGGUGGUUCAGUGGUAAAGAAUUCUCUCACCAGUGCAGAACACACAGGAGAUGUGGGUUUGAUCCCUAGGUUGGGAAGAUCCCCUGGAGAAGGAAAUGGCAACCCACUCCAGUAAUCUUGCCUGGAGAAUUCUAUGGACAGAGGAGCCUGGUGGGCUACAGUCCAUGGGGUCCCAAAGAGUCGGACACAAAUGAAGCAACUUAGCACAAACCAACAAAAAAAAAUAAAUAAGAGACUGGGGCUACA